rnacentral:rRNA from 1 species
GACGAACGCUGGCGGCGUGCUUAACACAUGCAAGUCGAACGGAAAGGCCCUGCUUUUGUGGGGUGCUCGAGUGGCGAACGGGUGAGUAACACGUGAGUAACCUGCCCUUGACUUUGGGAUAACUUCAGGAAACUGGGGCUAAUACCGGAUAGGAGCUCCUGCUGCAUGGUGGGGGUUGGAAAGUUUCGGCGGUUGGGGAUGGACUCGCGGCUUAUCAGCUUGCUGGUGGGGUAGUGGCUUACCAAGGCUUUGACGGGUAGCCGGCCUGGGAGGGUGACCGGCCACAUUGGGACUGAGGUACGGCCCAGACUCCUACGGGAGGCAGCAGUGGGGAAUAUUGCACAAUGGGCGGAAGCCUGAUGCAGCAGCGCCGCGUGCGGGAUGACGGCCUUCGGGUUGUAAACCGCUUUCGCCUGUGACGAAGCGUGAGUGACGGUAAUGGGUAAAGAAGCACCGGCUAACUACGUG